ACAUACCGGUUAGACGAUAAACUAGCUACUCUACAAUGAUGCAAACGUCAUGGCUUUUAUCAUGAUAUUCAUCUGACUUUUUUUAGGUGGUGGGCCGGGCUUGACGAGGAUGGACCGUGACAGCUGAAAUAUCUACUUACAAAGUUGGUGACACGGUAGUAUGUUGCGUGACGCUAGUGUGGUGAAGUUCUCUACGCACAAUUAUUCCGCGCCCGCGGCCCGACGGAUUCAAAAUAUGCCUCGAGGUACACGCAUAGAAAAGCAGCUUUGUUGUAAAAUCACCAAAAUCGAUAAUAAGAGCAUAAUGGCCAACCACGCCCUUUUUAAAUGGAAAAUAGGAUGCAAGAUCCUCCUCUAUGCAGCAUGCAGUAAUGUUUAAUCUAUCCAUGUGAAUCCGAUACAGAAGGUGACUGCUUCGGCGGAUAUCCCCAAAAUUUAUCGUAAACGAUGUAUACCUUCUGACAUUUUAUCUGCGUGCAUCGGUCUUCAGGUUGCAUCCACCACACCCAGCCUGUCACAGUCUCUAUUCAAUAUAGGACAUAAAAUAGUAAAUCCUGCCCACAGAGUCGCGGGGAAGCUACCCUUCGAAUUGCGUCGGCGUCGACGUCUACAGUUGAACGCCGCGACGUGAGAUCAACAUACCGUCAACAGACGUCCUUUAAGUUAGUAGCAGUUCUACCUUCCUAACAGAAUCACAUAGCACACCUCAACUUGUUAUUCAUACUUGACAGUUGCAGACUUCUUCUAGACAACAUUCUAAAAGUCUAAAAUGAUAUACGGGACGUUAAAUUCGCGUAUGUUGGUGAGCAUGAAUUAUUUUUACAUAACUUUAAUUACCGUACGCAAUAGCGAUUAGUGCAGUAAACGAAGGUACUUGUGCGGUACUAAAUUAGAAAAGUGCUUUGAUCAAUCAUCAUAAAAUGUGCAGGGUUCGCUUUGAGAUUCUACAAAACGCUUCAGCAUUCCAUUUAUAUAGAACCUUAAAGUGACAGCCCAUAAAUUUAACUUUAAAUGUAUCGCGUCUUGAGAAUCUUAGAGCUUUAUUUUGUAAAUGAUGUAUAUUGCAUUAAAGCACAGUCUAAGUAACUGCAAUUUCCCCUGGGUUUAGCACCCCUUUAAAUCUAUCGGUAUUGGGUAAGGAUGUACAAAAAGCAGGUAAAAUUUAGUAACCCCACGAGUACUUUCGUAAGGAAACAUGGCUGCGAGCUAUAGGAAAGUGUUCACCUGGGAACUCUCAGUAAACCCUCUACUUUCAAAUAUUGCCACUGAGGGAUUAGUUAUGUGGAAUAUUUCUGUAUUUUUCGCACCUAUAUACCCUACCCUAAUCUUAUAGUAAACAGCACAUGUUUAUGUUUAAUACCAUACUUAGUUGUUAUUCUAAUUUAUAGAUUAGGUGUCUCUUCUGCUCGAUAGGAUCACUUUGAAGACAGAAUGUAAACCCCCUGUACGUAUACUGAAUGUAUCCUGAGUGUCUUCUGUCCGGUAUACCUUCAGUAUACGUAACAGGAGGCCACACUUUUCACCGCUGGACCUUCUGGACGCAUCUUCUUCGUCUUGAUUCAGCUGCAGAAAUAUAAUUGUAAAACCGAUUAAAUUGUUAAUUUAUACUCCUGUAUGUA